rnacentral:rRNA from 1 species
GUGUCAGCCGCCGCGGUAAUACGUAGGUGGCGAGCGUUAUUCGGAUUUAUUGGGCGUAAAGGGUUCGUAGGGGGUUGGCUAAGUCGGAUGUGAAAGCCUGCGGCUCAACUGCAGAAUGCCAUUCGAUACUGGCUGACUAGAGGAUCGGAGAGGAGAGUGGAAUUCCUGGUGUAGCGGUGGAAUGCGUAGAUAUCAGGAGGAACGCCGAUGGCGAAGGCAGCUCUCUGGACGAUACCUGACCCUGAGGAACGAAAGCCGGGGGAGCAAACAGGAUUAGAAACCCGUGUAGUCC